GCCGUCCCCCUUCCCCGUCCCGGCCCGACCUACUACGAACGUACCCUUACCGGACGGGCGAGGCAGUGGGGAAUCUUGCACAAUGGGCGAAAGCCUGAUGCAGCGACGCCGCGUGGGGGAUGGAAGCUUUUCGGAGUGUAAACCCCUUUCGACCCGGACGAAAACCUCGCAAGAGGAUUGACGGUACGGGUAUAAGAAGCCCCGGCUAACUACGUGCCAGCAGCCGCGGUAUAC
rnacentral:rRNA from 1 species